rnacentral:rRNA from 1 species
GUCGACCGGCGCACGGGUGAGUAACGCGUAUCCAACCUGCCCAUCACUUGGGGAUAACCUUGCGAAAGUAAGACUAAUACCCAAUGACGUCUCUAGAAGACAUCUGAAAGAGAUUAAAGAUUUAUCGGUGAUGGAUGGGGAUGCGUCUGAUUAGCUGGUUGGCGGGGUAACGGCCCACCAAGGCAACGAUGGAUAGGGGUUCUGAGAGGAAGGUCCCCCACACUGGUACUGAGACACGGACCAGACUCCUACGGGAGGCAGCAGUGAGGAAUAUUGGUCAAUGGGCGAGAGCCUGAACCAGCCAAGUCGCGUGGAGGAAGACUGCCCUACGGGUUGUAAACUCCUUUUACCUGGGAAUAACGGGCGCUACGCGUAGCGCUGUGCAUGUACCGGGAGAAUAAGCAUCGGCUAAUUCCGUG